rnacentral:rRNA from 1 species
UACGUAGGUGGCAAGCGUUGUCCGGAUUUAUUGGGUUUAAAGGGUGCGUAGGCGGCUUUGUAAGUCAGUGGUGAAAUAUGGCAGCUCAACUGUCAAGGUGCCAUUGAUACUGCAGAGCUUGAGUACAGAUGAGGUAGGCGGAAUUGACGGUGUAGCGGUGAAAUGCUUAGAUAUCGUCAAGAACACCUAUAGCGAAGGCAGCUUACUAGGCUGUAACUGACGCUGAGGCGCGAAAAGUGUGGGGGAGUCAAAACAGG